rnacentral:rRNA from 1 species
UACAGAGGUGGCAAGCGUUGUUCGGAAUUACUGGGCGUAAAGGGCGCGUAGGCGGCCAUCUAAGUCAGACGUGAAAUCCCUCGGCUUAACCGGGGAACUGCGUCUGAUACUGGUUGGCUUGAGUUUGGGAGAGGGACGCGGAAUUCCAGGUGUAGCGGUGAAAUGCGUAGAUAUCUGGAGGAACACCGGUGGCGAAGGCGGCGUCCUGGACCAACACUGACACUGAUGAGCGAAAGCCAGGGGAGCAAACGGG